rnacentral:rRNA from 1 species
AGAACGAACGCUGGCGGCAUGCCUAAUACAUGCAAGUCGAACGAACUCUUCGGAGUUAGUGGCGCACGGGUGCGUAACGCGUGGGAAUCUGCCCUUGGGUUCGGAAUAACAGUUGGAAACGACUGCUAAUACCGGAUGAUGACGAAAGUCCAAAGAUUUAUCGCCCAGGGAUGAGCCCGCGUAGGAUUAGCUAGUUGGUGAGGUAAAGGCUCACCAAGGCGACGAUCCUUAGCUGGUCUGAGAGGAUGAUCAGCCACACUGGGACUGAGACACGGCCCAGACUCCUACGGGAGCAGCAGUAGGGAAUAUUGGACAAUGGGCGAAAGCCUGAUCCAGCAAUGCCGCGUGAGUGAUGGAAGGCCUUAGGGUUGUAAAGGCUUCUUUUACCCGAGAUGAUAAUGACAGUAUCGGAAGAAUAAGCCCCGGAUAACUCCGACGCCAAGCAGCCGAC